rnacentral:rRNA from 1 species
UACGGGGGGGGCAAGCGUUGUUCGGAAUUACUGGGCGUAAAGGGCGCGUAGGCGGCCUGUUAAGUCGAACGUGGAAUCCCCGGGCUCAACCCGGGAACUGCGUCCGAUACUGGCAGGCUUGAAUCCGGGAGAGGGAUGCGGAAUUCCAGGUGUAGCGGUGAAAUGCGUAGAUAUCUGGAGGAACACCGGUGGCGAAGGCGGCAUCCUGGACCGGCAUUGACGCUGAGGCGCGAAAGCCAGGGGAGCAAAGCGGG